rnacentral:pre_miRNA from 1 species
UUCUGUGGAGUUUGUAUGGAGUUGGAACAGAUACCCUUCGUUUGCCGCUAGGGGCGCUGUUUCAACUCCAUACAAAUUUGAGUUA